AGUGAGCGAGCAGCGUUACCAGCU
rnacentral:siRNA from 1 species